UUUUAUUUAUUUUUAUUUUUAAAGAAAUAAAAAUUAAUAGAAUUAUUUUUAAAGUAUAAUAUUUAGAAAGUUUAUUUAUAGUAACUGAAAAGGAAUUUUUAACUUUUUAAAAUUAAAAAUUAAAAAGUUUAUUAAAGUACCUUUUGCAUUAGGGUUUUUUAAAAAAAUUAAUUUAUAAAUUAAUUUCCCGAAAUUAAAAUGAUCUAUUAAAAUAUAAGUUUUUUGUAAAAUUAUGAAAUUUAAUUUUUUAAUAGAAAUGAAAUUUUUUUCAUAUUUUAAGAUAUCUGGUUAUUAAAAAUGUUGAUUAUACAUCUAAUUAUUAAAAAUAUUUAACUGUAAAAUUUAAAAUAAUUUAGGUUUAUAGGGAUAAGCUUAUAAAAUAAUUUUUAUUAUUUAAUAAAUUAAUUUAUUAAAUAAAGGAAUGAAAUUGUCUUGGUUUUUUAAUAAAAAAUUAAAUCAUAUUAUAGUUUUUAAAAUUUUUUUAAUGAUUUAUUUAAUUUAUAAUAAAUGUAAAUAUUAAAAAAUUAGUAAAAGAUUAAUAUUAUUAAUUAUUUAUAUAAAUUUAAAAUUAUUUAAAAUAAUUAAUUUAAAGGAAUUAAGCAAAAAAUUUUUUUAGUUGACUGUUUAUCAAAAACAUUUCAUUUUGUAUUUAAUUUAAUAAAAUGUAAAACCUGCUCAAUGAAUAUAUUUUAAAUUGCUGUGGUAUUUUGACUAUACGAAGGUAUUGAAAUAAGAUUUUAAAUGAGUGCUAAGAGAAUGGUUUAACAAUUAAAAACUUUCUUUAAAUUAAAAAUUAAAGUUAAUUUUUUUGUGAGGAAGCAAAAAUAAAUAUUAGGGACAAGAAGACCCUAUGAAUUUUAUAUUAAUUAAUAAUAAUAAUUAAAAUUUUAAUUAUUAUUAAUUAUUUUUGUUGGGGUGAUAGAAAAAAAAUAAUUAUCUUUUUAUAAUAAAUUAAUUUUGAUCCGUUCUUAAUGAUAGUAUGAUAAAAAUACUCUAGGGAUAACAGCGUUUUGCGACCUCGAUGUUGGAUUAGGAUACUUUUUUAAUGAAGAAGUUUUAUAAAAGAAGUUUGUUCAACUUUUAAAUUCCUACAUGAUCUGAGUUCAGACCGGCGUAAGCCAGGUUGGUUUCUAUCUUAAUAAUAAUACUAAUUUUUUUAGUACGAAAGGAAUUAAAAAUUUUAAUUUAGUUAAUUAAACUAUAGUUUAUUAAUAUAAA
rnacentral:rRNA from 1 species